AGCGGAAGGCCCUUUCGGGGGUACUCGAGCGGCGAACGGGUGAGUAACACGUGAGUAAUCUGCCCUUGGCUUUGGGAUAACCACCGGAAACGGUGGCUAAUACCGGAUAUGACCACUCCCGGCAUCGGGUGGUGGUGGAAAGUUUUUUCGGCCAGGGAUGUGCUCGCGGCCUAUCAGCUUGUUGGUGGGGUAAUGGCCUACCAAGGCUUCGACGGGUAGCCGGCCUGAGAGGGUGACCGGCCACACUGGGACUGAGACACGGCCCAGACUCCUACGGGAGGCAGCAGUGGGGAAUAUUGGACAAUGGGCGGAAGCCUGAUCCAGCAACGCCGCGUGAGGGAUGACGGCCUUCGGGUUGUAAACCUCUUUCAGUACCGACGAAGCGCCGAUGAUGGUGGUGACGGUAGGUACAGAAGAAGCACCGGCCAACUACGUGCCAGCAGCCGCGGUAAUACGUAGGGUGCGAGCGUUGUCCGGAAUUAUUGGGCGUAAAGGGCUCGUAGGCGGUUUGUCGCGUCGGGAGUGAAAACACCGGGCUUAACUCGGUGCUUGCUUUCGAUACGGGCAGACUAGAGGCAUGCAGGGGAGAACGGAAUUCCUGGUGUAGCGGUGAAAUGCGCAGAUAUCAGGAGGAACACCGGUGGCGAAGGCGGUUCUCUGGGCAUGUCCUGACGCUGAGGAGCGAAAGUGU
rnacentral:rRNA from 1 species